rnacentral:rRNA from 1 species
UACGUAGGGGGCGAGCGUUGUCCGGAAUCAUUGGGCGUAAAGCGCGUGUAGGCGGCCCGGUAAGUCCGCUGUGAAAGUCCAGGGCUCAACCCUGGGAUGCCGGUGGAUACUGUCGGGCUCGAGUCCGGAAGAGGCGAGUGGAAUUCCUGGUGUAGCGGUGAAAUGCGCAGAUAUCAGGAGGAACACCAAUGGCGAAGGCAGCUCGCUGGGACGUGACUGACGCUGAGACGCGAAAGCGUGGGAGC